GCUGAAACAAAAUAAAACAGAUGUAGUCAGUUUUUGCACUCACAACAAACCUGCCUGAAUAAUUUUCACAGGGCAGGUGUCUGCCUGCCUUAUUUGUGCUCCCAUCCUGCUGGGCUAAUAAUAAGAUAUUUGUUUGUGUUUUAGCUGUCUUGAUGCACUAGAACAGUGUUUUGUGAAGGCAGAUUUAUGUCCAUGAUCAGAAACCAGCCAAUCUGUAUAAAAUUCUACAACUUUGUAUUUUCAGCCUUUCUGGCAAUUUGAAGUAUCUGUAACCUGGUGCUGCCACUGAUUAUCUUUGCUAUUCUUAACUUAUGUGAGAGUUUACCAUUAUAAAAGGUAAUUGCCAAACAGUAUCACACUAUUUGCUUGAGCACUGAGCCCCAAUCCUAAUGUUUCUCUUUGCUCCUACAGCUGAGGUCUCAACGCAGUUCAACUUAACACCUGGCUCUGGGAAAUGUCACCGUGCUUCUUUUCAGAAGUCUGUGUUCUGGGGGCCAGCAGUCACUUGUGUGUUUUGGUAGAGUCCUCUUCAGCCAGCCACAACACGAACUGGACUACUACUACUACUACUAUUGCUACUACUACUACUGUUACUGCUACUAAUUGCCUGAGGGAGCUCCAUUUUCAUAUGCUAGAUGGGAGAGGAUGAAAUAGGAGAAUUCAGGAAAUAUGAAACAUCGAAUUGCAACACUUCCAAUCACAUAGACACCUACAACAACCGGGUAUGUAAUUCUAUGUGGGCUUCUGUAAACACCAUAGAAGCUUUUGCAGGUGUCUCCAACAGACCCUGGCCAGCAUAUGCGUGGGAGGAGGUGGGUAGAGCUGAGAAUUAACCAGAUCUAACAUACCAGCCAGAAAGAAGACAGUCAAGAGCUGGAUGAAUGCGUUAUACCUUGCUUAAAUGCUGUUUCUCUCUUUGUUCCUUGUCCUUUACAUGUUACACAGAUUUCUUCUGAUUACGGCCCUAAGGUUGCAGAGGGUUAGCUCAAUAGAUGAUGUAGGAACAUCUGUCAAUUCUCUCUUCUUUUACACAGCACAUUUGUGUUUGCUGCACCCGAGGGAUGGGGUGGAGAAGCCAAACCCCAGAAGGCAAGCAGGCAGCACCAGUGCCAAUGCAGUCCUACAGGAGGAGAAGCUGAAACCAUUGGGCUUGGAGCCAAAGCCAGUGGGCACCUUCCCUGGAGCUGUGUGGAUGACUGUCCAUGAGUUUCUCAGUGCUUAA
rnacentral:lncRNA from 1 species